AGAAUUUUGAUAUUUGGUCAUUGUAAGAGUAUACUCAGAAAAAACCGACGAGAGACUCAGGUGAGGAGAAAAAGAAAAAAAUCCAACUUCGAGCUUCAGAAACUUCUACCCAAAAAUUUUAUGAACCUAACUAAUUGAAGUGAUGUAGUUGGUGUUCUGAAGUUUGUUGACCGAUGGGGAAUUUAAGAGUGAAAGAAGUGGAUUUCUUAUGUUCUUACUGAUUGAAGAUUGGAGGUGUCUUUGGAUUCAAUAGGCGAACUACGGCGGUUAAGGUUUGAGUUGUGAGUUGAGGUGGGGACUUACAUUUUUCUUUUGUAAUCAUUGAUGGCUUUUAACAAAAUUAUGUUUAUGCACUUAAAUAAACUCAUGCAUUGUUGGAUUUGAUUUCCGAUAACUCAGUAGAUUCUUUAAGUCUUUUCCAUUACUUGGAAAUGACCUGAAAUGUACUUGCUUGCCUUUGUGAUUGUAUGGGAAAUAAGAAUUUCCAUCUGUGGUAUAUAUGAUACGCUCCUUCAUUUAUAACUACUUUUUUUCAGCAUUUAUGCAAUGGCUAGGGCGACACAACACAAUAUUAUUAUCUAGGUGUGGAACUGGUUGACACUAUAUUAUACAUUGUUUGAAGGAGGAGCUAGUGUCCAUGUACUUGAUUGUUUUGUCCCCUUUAAUUUUUAGAGUACAUGCUUGUUUAUGUCACUGAACUAAAUGUGUUACUAUCGUUUAAGGAAAACUUGCAUUCUUUUAA